rnacentral:rRNA from 1 species
AGAUCGAACUGAAGAGUUUGAUCCUGGCUCAGAUUGAACGCUGGCGGCAUGCCUUACACAUGCAAGUCGAACGGCAGCACGGGAGCAAUCCUGGUGG